ensembl:lncRNA
GGGUCAGUGCAUAUGGCAGCGUGGGCGAUGCAUUCAGGGACAAUAAGAAGUGCGGGAAAGGCGCACUUCUUACUUUUUUUUUUUUUUCCACAAACGCGCGGAAAAUCGGGACAAAUAUAACAGUCGGGUUCUCCAGCGGGGCGGCAAUAGGGGUGGCAGGAACUGGCUCGCGAACAUCAGGAGGAACGACCGCAGAAAGAAAAGCCGGAGGAACAAGCACCUGAGGAGCGGCAGCAGCAGGUGCUGUCCCGGGCCUGGAGCGCGGACUGGCCGACUUUGUGUGACUUUUCUUUGGCAUAGUGCAGGGUUGUUUACUCUCCUAAAACACUAUGGGCCCGAUCUUCCAAGGACAAGAACAGUUCUGGAGCUGGAAGAUCUCACAUUGUGCCCCUCCAGUGUGGAAAAGGACACACCAGUCUGUGUUUAGAAACACAAGACAGCAAAGACAGUUGGUCGUCAGCCCUUGUUUUGAAGCCCAGGGUGGGUCCACCUGCUCGAGCCCCAAGAAUCAACCGAGAGGUUGUGUCAGGGUGUGUCACAUCUCGAUGCUCUGAAGAGAGACGGCAAUGUGGCCACACUGCCCUCUAGAUGAUGGAACAAGGACUGCAGACAUGACAGCUUUCGCAAAAUUGCAUAUCUGAGUAAAUGUCACUUAUUGUUGUUGUUAAAUCAAAAGGUAGGAGAUGUUUUAUGUUUUCUCUUUAUGUCUUCUCUUGCAUUUAAGGCAUGUAAUAUAGUAUACACAAACCUGUAUAGGCUAUUAUGUCAACAGACCACUGUGAUGUCAUUGCUGUCACUAGAAACCUGUCACCCAUACUAGCAUUCUUACCAGCAUCUUGUAUGUGUUUAUAACUUGUGCUGCCGUCUCCUGAUUGGGUGAGGAGGGUCAGCUGGUGUUGUGAAUCAGGCCGCUGCACUUUCACCCACGGCUUCUUCACAACACCAGGGUCUCUCCGCACCACAGGCUGCUCACAGAGGAGAGACCUGCAUAACUUCAUAACAUGCCUCAUGUGUGGACUGCAUUAAAUAUUGUACCUUUAAACUGCUGUCGAAAGGUUGUUAUUCUUUCUUCUGUAUAAUUUUCAAUAAAGAGCUCAUGCUGAAUGAAAUGUUGUCUUUUCAAAUGACGUUUCUGUGCGUGGAAAAUCAACGUGAACUGGAAUGAGUACUGUGUUCCAAUUAAAACGUCUCUUAAAAUGCCGUUUACGGUCGACCUGUUUCUUUUACACAAACCAAAUAAACAGAUUUACACUGUUUUCGUUGCAUUGUUUCGCAUUUACUGCACAUUAGCAUAAGCAUCCAUUCCGAAAUCUGCAUGCUAAACACAUACUGUAAGCAAAAGGAGGUUGAUG